rnacentral:tRNA from 1 species
GCGGCUAUGGCGGAAUUGGCAGACGCGCCAGAUUUAGGUUCUGGUGGGAGACCGUGCAGGUUCAAGUCCUGUUAGCCGCA